GUGCACCACGCGUACACCCCGGCUCCUCCGCACCGUCCGCACCCGCCUGACGACUGCUCGCUACGUUCUGUCAGCC
rnacentral:sRNA from 3 species